rnacentral:rRNA from 1 species
UUUCCGGUUGAUCCUGCCGGACCUGACUGCUAUCGGAUUGAUACUAAGCCAUGCGAGUCUUUGUAGUAAUACAAGGCAGACGGCUCAGUAACACGUAGUCAACCUACCCUAUGGACGAGAAUAAUCUCGGGAAACUGGGCAUAAUUCUUGAUAGAUCAUAAUGCCCGGAAUGGUUUAUGGUUAAAUGAUUCGUCGCCAUAGGAUGGGACUGCGGCCUAUCAGCUUGUUGGUGAGGUAAUGGCCCACCAAGGCGAUUACAGGUACGGGCUCUGAGAGGAGAAGCCCGGAGAUGGGUACCGAGACACGGACCCAGGCCCUAUGGGGCGCAGCAGGCGAGAAAACUUUGCAAUGUGCGAAAGCACGACAAGGUUAAUCCGAGUGAUUUCUGCUAAAGAAAUCUUUUGCCAGUCAUAAAACCACUGGUGAAUAAGGGGUGGGCAAGUUCUGGUGUCAGCCGCCGCGGUAAAACCAGCACCUCAAGUGGUCAGGAUGAUUAUUGGGCCUAAAGCAUCCGUAGCCGGCUUUGUAAGUUUUCGGUUAAAUCCAUGUGCUCAACGCAUGGGCUGCCGAAAAUACUGCAUGGCUAGGGAGUGGGAGAGGUAGACGGUACUCAGUAGGAAGGGGUAAAAUCCUUUGAUCUAUUGAUGACCACCUGUGGCGAAGGCGGUCUACCAGAACACGUUCGUCGGUGAGGGAUGAAAGCUGGGGGAGCAAACCGGAUUAAAUACCCGGGUAGUCCCAGCUGUAAACGAUGCAGACUCGAUGAUGCAUUGGCAUAAUAGCCAGUGCAGUGUCGCAGGGAAGCCGUUAAGUCUGCCGCCUGGGAAGUACGUACGCAAGUAUGAAACUUAAAGGAAUUGGCGGGGGAGC